GGAGGUAUAGCUCAAGUGGUAGAGUUUCUGCUUAGCAUGUGCAGAGUCCUGGGUUCAAUCCCCAGUACCUUCA
rfam:Camelus ferus unplaced genomic scaffold scaffold2237, whole genome shotgun sequence.